GAUGAAGAACGUAGUGAAAUGCGAUACGUAGUGUGAAUUGCAGAAUUCAGUGAAUCAUCGAAUCUUUGAACGCACAUUGCGGCCAUAGGUAUUCCUUUGGCCAUGCCUGUUCGAGCGUCAUUUACACCCUCAAGCCUAGCUUGGUGUUGGGCGUCUGUCCCGCCGUUCUCGCGCGCGGACUCGCCUCAAAGUCAUUGGCGGCGGUCGUGCCGGCCCCCUCGCGCAGCACAUUUGCGCUUCUCGGAGGCCCGGCGGAUCCGCGCUCCAGCAAGACCUUUCACGACUUGACCUCGGAUCAGGUAGGGAUACCCGCUGAACUUAAGCAUAUCAAUAAGCGGAGGA
rnacentral:misc_RNA from 1 species